rnacentral:lncRNA from 1 species
AUCUGAACACCUACUUAUUUUUAAGUACUCUUUUAUUCUUAGAUAGUUGUACUAACUCAAAUGUACAGUCUUAUGCAAAAAUUUUAUCUCCUCCUACAUGACUUUUAACUACUCUGGCUUUUGCUCAAUUCAUGGCCUCCUGGUAGUACUCUGAUUCUCCUCCACCAAUUAUCAUCACAAACUCAUUAAGGGACGAUGUUCUCUAGUAGAUCUUUUUAAUUA